CAGUUUAAAAUUAACUUUCCCCUUAGCAGGGCCCGUUCCCCUCCAGCCGGGAGCUGGUGCACAGCAGCAAUUCCCACGUCUGUCUGUCUAUCUGCUGCCGGCCUGCGCUGCAUGUUACCUCCGUCCUCAUCCCUUCCCCCAAUCUCCAGCUAAACAAAGGGAGCGAGGAAAAAAACAGCCCAGGAAGUGCAAAGUGGAAAGCGACCCUCUUCCUAUUUGACGACACCGCCAAUUCCUCCGGGAUCCCACCUGAGAUUAAAGCCUGAAUUUCAAUAAAUCAGCUCUAAUGAAA